ensembl:snRNA U6 U6 spliceosomal RNA
UUGCUUUGGCAGCAUAUAUAUUAAAUUGAAAUGAUACAGAGAAGAUUAGCAUGGCCCCUGCACGAGGAUGACGUUCAAAUCUGUGAAAUGUUCCAUAUUUUU